CUGCCUUUUCCCUUUAUUUGAUUUGAUUUCAACAAACACAGCACACAAGAUCUGAUCAUCAUCAAUAAUAGCAGCUACAAAAGCUGGGCAGCUUCUUCUUUUCUGGAAGCUAUUUGUUUGAAUUUUAUUUUAUUUGUUUCGAUUCACAGGAAGGGGAGUUAUGAAAAGUUGGAUGUUGAGAAAGUGAAGAAAGCACUAGAGGUUAGUGGUGGUGGUGGUGGCGGCUACCAGAUUUUCAUGGACAAGUUGUGUUGCUUUGAUUCUCAGCAUGGAGGACGAGGUUCCAGUAGCUCUGGUAAGGGCAGAAGCCCUCAAGGCCCAAUAAAAUAUGGAUUUAGCCUAGUAAAAGGGAAGGCGAAUCAUCCUAUGGAGGAUUAUCAUGUUGCUAAGUUUCAUCAUACCAAAGGACAUGAGCUUGGACUAUUUGCUAUUUAUGAUGGCCAUAUGGGAGAUAGCGUGCCAGCCUACCUACAGAAGCAUUUGUUUUCCAAUAUUUUAAAGGAGGAGAAUUUCUGGACUGAUCCUCAUGGUUCCAUUUCAAAAGCCUACGAGAGGACUGACCAGGCAAUUCUUUCUCAUAGUCGAGACUUGGGGCGAGGUGGCUCUACUGCUGUUACUGCAAUUCUUAUAAAUGGCCGAAAGUUAUUAAUCGCAAAUGUUGGUGAUUCAAGAGCAGUUCUCUCAAGAGGGGGUCAAGCAAUACAAAUGACGAUUGAUCAUGAGCCCAACAGAGAGCGAGGCAGUAUUGAGAACAAAGGCGGAUUUGUCUCGAAUAUACCAGGAGAUGUCCCAAGAGUUAAUGGCCAGUUGGCAGUGUCUCGUGCUUUUGGAGACAAGAGCCUGAAAUCACACCUACGAUCAGAUCCAGACAUACGACAUACUGAUAUUGAUCCCAACUGUGAGAUUCUUAUUCUUGCAAGUGAUGGUUUAUGGAAGGUCAUGGAUAAUCAAGAGGCAGUUGACAUUGCAAGAAAGAUCAAGGAUCCACAGAAAGCUGCUAAGCACCUAACGGCUGAAGCAUUACGCAGAGAAAGUAAAGAUGAUAUAUCUUGUGUUGUUGUCCGGUUCAAGGGUUAGUAGGAGCUAUAUAAUUCACCAGAUGCUGGGUAUUUUUUAUUUUUGUUUCUGGGAAAGUUGCUCUACAUUGGAUGAUCAUGUAUAGAGAACUGUCACCAAUACCUGGUCCAGGGACACUGCAGCCCAUACGUAGUAAUGGAACUCAGCCACAGAUGCAUAUUUCUCCAAAAGUUGUUCAGGUCUUGCGUUCGAUUCCUGCCAUUGGUGGGGGGCCUUGGAUUACUCAGAGCUGGCUGUGGUGGGUGCGCUCCGGCUCCCUUGGGUUUGGCAACCAUGGGUGGUUACUAAAAAAAAAGGGGGUUGACUCAUACGUAGCUCAACAACUGCACAAUACCUUCUUUCGGGUAAUAGACGUCUCUUUAGAAUUUAUGCUGGUUCAAGUUUCAUUCUGGAAUUUGAAGCUUUCUUUUCCUUUUUAGAUGGGCAUGGAUCUUUGCCUUUAAGUUAUGGAGGUGCUAACCUUUUUAUUGUAAGGUUUCGUCUUUCCAUACAAAUCCCUUAAGAAAUCCAACCUUCUUAUCAUUCAAUCGAAUCUGUUGUUCUUUUCGGCUGGCA